UGCAGAUGGCCCGCGCUGCCUCUUCCCAUGCAAUUUCCUCCGCCGCCGAGAGCCACACCGCCGCCAGACCACGACGAAGAUCCAGUCGGACGCGGCGACCAGGCCUCGCGCGCAGACCGAGCCAGCGGAUGCUCCACCAUCACAGGUCACGCGUUCACCAUCGCAGGUCACGCUCCAUCCUCGCCAGUCACACAUCCUUCCAUGCCAUCCUCGCUGGUCACGCAUCCCCCCUUUGCCGAUCGCGACGUCUUCGCCGCUGAUUGCCAGCCCAGCCGCUCCUUUCUCACCAGUUGUAGCUUCUUCUGCACCGACACUGUAGCUCCGCCUCCGUCAACCUCCUCGCCACCAGUAACCACACUCCAGCAUUUGCAGAUGAGAUGAGUUAUGAUGAUGAGGAGGUGAAAUCUGAGAUCACCGAAAAAUGCAACUCAACCACCAGCAGCCUGAGUUCUAUACGACUUACUCCUAGGGAAGUUUUCUUUAACUUACUUUUAUUUUAUUUUGUGGACUUUCCCGUUUGAUUGAAUUUGUUUUUCCACAUUGAGGACAAUGUGAGGAGUAAGUGUGAGGGAG
rnacentral:lncRNA from 1 species